rnacentral:rRNA from 1 species
UGGGGAAUAUUGCGCAAUGGGGGAAACCCUGACGCAGCGACGCCGCGUGUGGGAUGAAGGUCUUCGGAUUGUAAACCACUGUCGCGAGGGACGAAGCUCUGACGGUACCUCGAAAGGAAGCACCGGCUAACUCUGUGCCAGCAGACGCGGUAAUACAGAGGGUGCGAGCGUUGUCCGGAAUCACUGGGCGUAAAGGGCGCGUAGGCGGCCCGGUAAGUAGGGGGUGAAAUCUCAUGGCUCAACUGUGAGGCUGCCUUCUAGACUGCCAGGCUUGAGCACAGUAGAGGCGAGUGGAAUUCCCGGUGUAGCGGUGGAAUGCGUAGAGAUCGGGAAGAACAUCGGUGGCGAAGGCGGCUCGCUGGGCUGUUGCUGACGCUGAGGCGCGAAAGCGUGGGGAGCAAACAGGAUUAGAUACCCUGGUAGUCCCUGAGCGGGCUGGCAAGGCGCAU